AUGGCCACUAAAAAACCAGUAGCCAAGAAAGUGGUAGAAUCCAGUGAAAGUUAUGAUUCUGACUCUGAGGAGGAUACCACUGCUAAACCAGUUAAGAAGAAUAAAAAAUCUAGUGAUAGCUCAGAUUCUGACUCAGAUUCAGAUUCUGAAGAAGAUACCACUGCUAAAACAGUUUCUGUAAAGAAAGAAAAAUCUAGUGGUAGCUCAGAUAAUGACUCGGAUUCCGAUUCUGAUGAACCAGCAAAAUCUAUUAUUCCUGCUAAGAGGCUUCUGACAACAGAGAAAAAGAGAAACAUUCCAAGGAUGAUUCUGAUGAUAGUUCUGAUGAGAGUGAUGAAGAGCCUGCAGUAA
rnacentral:rRNA from 1 species